GACGAACGCUGGCGGCGUGCCUAAUACAUGCAAGUCGAACGCAGUGGGGACGGGUGAUUAACACGUGGGUAACCUCCCAUCAGAGGGGAUAACACUUGGAAACAGGUGCUAAACCCAUACUGGUGGAUGGACCAGCGGUGCAUUAGCUAGUUGGUGAGGUAACGGCUCACCAAGGCAACGAGGCAUAGCCGACUUGAUAGGGUGAUCGGCCACCCUGGGACUGAGACACGGCCCAGACGCCUACGGGAGGCAGCAGUAGGGAAUCUUCGGCAAUGGACGAAAGUCUGACCGAGCAACCCCGGGUGUGUGAAGAAGGUUUUCGGGUUGUAAAGCUCUUUUGUUAGAGAAGCGGUAUCUAACCAGAAAGCCACGGCUAACUACGUGCCAGCAGCCGCGGUAAUAC
rnacentral:rRNA from 1 species